rnacentral:rRNA from 1 species
UGUGGCGCAUGCCACGCUUUUGAAAGAUGGUUUCGGCUAUCGCUUACAGAUGGGCCCGCGGUGCAUUAGCUAGUUGGUAGGGUAAUGGCCUACCAAGGCAACGAUGCAUAGCCGACCUGAGAGGGUGAUCGGCCACACUGGGACUGAGACACGGCCCAGACUCCUACGGGAGGCAGCAGUAGGGAAUCUUCCGCAAUGGACGAAAGUCUGACGGAGCAACGCCGCGUGUAUGAAGAAGGUUUUCGGAUCGUAAAGUACUGUUGUUAGAGAAGAACAAGGAUAAGAGUAACUGCUUGUCCCUUGACGGUAUCUAACCAGAAAGCCACGGCUAACUACGUGCCAGCAGCCGCGGUAAUACGUAGGUGGCAAGCGUUGUCCGGAUUUAUUGGGCGUAAAGCGCGCGCAGGCGGUCUUUUAAGUCUGAUGUGAAAGCCCCCGGCUUAACCGGGGAGGGUCAUUGGAAACUGGAAGACUGGAGUGCAGAAGAGGAGAGUGGAAUUCCACGUGUAGCGGUGAAAUGCGUAGAUAUGUGGAGGAACACCAGUGGCGAAGGCGACUCUCUGGUCUGUAACUGACGCUGAGGCGCGAAAGCGUGGGGAGCAAACAGGA